UACGGAAGGGGCAAGCGUUGUUCGGAAUCAUUGGGCGUAAAGGGCGCGUAGGUGGUUCUGUAUGUCUACCGUGAAAGCAUACAGCUCAACUGUAUUUUGUCGGUAGAAACUGCAGGACUUGAGGCUGGGAGGGGCUGGUGGAAUUCCCUGUGUAGCGGUGAAAUGCGUAGAGAUGGGGGAGAACACUCGUGGCGAAGGCGGCCAGCUAGACCAGUUCUGACACUGAGGCGCGAAAGCUAGGGGAGCGAACGGG
rnacentral:rRNA from 1 species